AAAAUAUCUUGGCAAGUUGUCAAACUUUCCUUGUUUGAUAGUGUUGCUUUGCUUCAUUUCAGUUUAUUUUGAAACGGCUCAUUCUCCACAAGUGAAAAUCCACUCUGCAUCUUUUCUGCUGCUGCUGUUUCCCAGCCUGAUGAAAAGAAAAGUUUAUUUUGAAACGGCUCAUUCUCCACAAGUGAAAAUCCACUCUGCAUCUUUUCUGCUGCUGCUGUUUCCCAGCCUGAUGAAAAGAAAAGGUGGCAUCAAUACAUUGGCCACUAUGCAGUCAGCAGAGAGACCAGCUGGACUCUAGAACAUGCUGAGAUUCGAAUUGAGAGAAAAGAUACUGCUCUCCCUGAUAUAGCUUAAUUUUGAAGAAUGGUCGUCUCGAUGCGCCAAAGCUGAAGCCAGAAGAUAAUCCUCUGCACCGCAGCUAAUAGUUGUUCCAUCACUUUCAACACCAGCAUGGAAAAGUGUAACUGCUGGCUUCCAAGGUGAAGAGACAGGAGGAGACUUCCUCAGAAGAUAAAUGACAGUCCUGCCUGGGGUGGGAGAGACAAAAGAUACACAUGGCAUUUAGACUGGCGAAAGACCGUUCAGAGUCCAACUGAGAGGCAAUCCUGAGGGCUACGACGACUUGGCCCACCCGCAGGCAUUGUUCACCGUCGCCUAUGAUGGACAACCAUGGCACUGCGGGACAUGUAACAACCACAGGUCAGACAGCCUUGCAUGUCGCCAUUGAAAGAAGGAGCUUUGACCAUGUGAGACUGCUGGUCCAGAAAGGAGCAGAUGUGCGGGCCAAAGCCAAUGGGAAGUUCUUCCAGCGUAAUGCAGGACUGGGCUUUUAUUUUGGAGAACUUCCACUGUCACUGGCUGCCUGCACCAACCAGUCCAAUAUUGUGUCCUUCCUCAUGGAAAACCCUUACAGAAGAGCCGACUUGGCUGACAAAGACUCGCAAGGAAACACUGUCUUGCACACCUUGGUGGUACAGAAAACACAGAUAUGGUUGCAAGGAUGUACGACGAGAUCCUCACUCUUCCUCCACACUACAGCCUUUUCUCGUUCCAGAGGUUUCCUCUCCCACUGUACUUUUUACAGGUAUGAGCUGUGUGUGUGAGUGCCCGUCACAGAGGUGCUUUAGUUCCCCUCCUCCCUCAGGUCUGUGCCGGAUUUCUCUUCCUACCUGCGCAAGUCACUGCCAGCCAGCCCACACCUAUCAGACAGGUUCAGCCAGUGAUUACAGAGCAAACACAUACUAAGUGUUAUGUGAUCACACACAUACACAUACUUGAGGGAAGAGAGCUAUAGAGCAAACACACAUACUGUAUAUCCUUCUCAAUUUACUCACUGGCCUCCGCCCAUCAAACACUCACCUGCGUAUACCCAGACACACUGUGGAAAAGAUGAAACCAGGAAAGGUAUUAUCAGCCAAAAUGCAUGCUGUGACACACCUGGUAAAACGUGUCAUACAGGAAGUGUGUAUUCACAGAUAUGCACCAAGAAACACAAACACACAGUGAACACAACCACGGUGAACUGACAUUACAUCUUCUAAGGCAGCAUAGAAAGCUUAGUAUAAACUGCCUCAUUCUGAUUUCUAUUUUUUAAAACACCUUUCUCUGUCAGCAUCAUGCUUGGGAUCGGACAAAUAAAUUUGACAGGCUUAUCUCAGUAUAGAAAUUAUUUAAAAUUAUUUCAGACUGACAAAAGCAUCUCUG